GCGGUGGUAUAGAUCAGAAACAAAAGUAUUUUCUCCAAUGACGACCAUACAAUCAUCACGCAAUCGGUAACUCGGCGGUACAGGUCGAACAAGGGCAUCAAGCGUCUGCUAGAGGUGUACAUCAGAUCGGAAUCCAAUGAAAACAAAUCAACAUUGGUUUCCAGAUGUUAUGUCUAUCCUGAACUCUACAAGAAGAGCAGAUUGUGGGAUUCAAACCCAGGGCUAUCAACAGAAAGAUUCUUGCUCAAGAUAGUACGUGGCAUGUGCGAUUACCACAUGAAGGUCGAAGCAGGUCAAAGCAAUCUUUGAUUGGAAAAAAGUACUACUCCUAACUACCUGUUGACCACGGACUCGACGCUCGCCUGCAACAGCCACAACACCGGCCUCUUCAGCCUCACAGCCAAGCCUCUCCAUACGCAGCUUGACCUCGCCUCGAGUCGUCGUUGCACCUUAAGAACUGGUGAUGCCAGCCGUCGUCCGCGCCCUGAGCCGCCGCCGCUGUUUCUGCCUCUUUCAUGGACCGACAUUGCUGAGCCGUCCCGGUCCAGCCGUCGUCAUAAGGUCCGCCUCCACCACGGGCCGACGUCGCCGAGCGUCCCGGCCGAACCGCCAUUGCGAGCUCCGUCUCUGCUACGAACCAACACCGCCGAGCCGCCCCACCCGAGCCACCACUGCGAGCUCUGCCUCUGCAAUGGUUUCGCUUCGCCUUUACCAUGUCUGAGUGCUCUCAGCCGCCCUGACCGAGUCGCUGUUACGAGCUCCACCUCUGUCGCGGGUGGGCAACGCCACGACCCGAGUCACCUCCUUCUGGCUCAUCUCGCCCUCGCCCGUGAGUCGCCCCUAGCCGGCUCAGCCGCUGCUUCGCCAUCAGCGCCGUGCACUCGUCGCCUCGCGACGCUACUUGAGCCGCCCCCACGUGAGCAUGCUGCCCGCGCUGGUCCUGUCGCUGUCUUGCUCUAUCAUGCCCCAGUCGGCUCGGUCUCCGAGCCGCCCACCUUAGCUUCGCCUCAAGUCGCCUUGCCCUGCUCCCGCUGCUAUCCUCCACCAUAGCUGCUGCAUCCGCCUCACCGGCGUCCUCGCGUCAUAGCCUGCUUAUCGCCGCCUCCACUUCUCCCGCACAAGCUGCUAUCUGCCUCGCCGGCCUCCUCGCAUCGCAGAGCACCUACCACCGUCGUGACCCACCUCACUGCCACGCCUAGAGGUGCCGCCACGCCAUGACUCAGUCGCGCCCCGCCGGACCACCUCCUCGCUAAAGACCCGCUGCUCGCCGAGCCAGCUCGCUACAGUCUGCUCCGCCUCACUCGCCUCAGCACAGCGAGUCGCCGAGGGGGCCAACUAACAGCUACAUUUGCGCAUUGACAUCACGUCUCGAUGAGCCGCCGCACCGUCCACUAUCACCCGACAAAAUUAUCAGGACAAUUACUCAUUACAAAGACUAUGAGGGUGUUUGGAUCACUAGAGACUAGAGACUAGAGACUAGUAGUAGUCACCUUUAGUCAGUAAACCUCCAAACACCCCUGACUAAUGGGUGACUAAAACUAGUUUAGUCCCUAGUCACCCCACCCCCAACUAAAAGUGACUAAAGUCUCUUCUCCAAUUAAUGGCUCAUCCUCCCAUGCUGGCACGCCAAUGGAAGGGAGAUAAAUGAGAAUAAUUUAAUACAGAGACAUUUAAUGCUGACUAGUAGUAGUCACCUUCCAAACAGGGCCUGACUAAAAACUUCUAGUCUGACUACUACUAGUCACAUGACUAGAGAGUAUCCAAACACCCUCUAUGUUACGCGUACGAAG
rnacentral:lncRNA from 1 species